rnacentral:sRNA from 1 species
GAUGCCAGGAUCAAAAGGUCAAAAUCCGACGCAAGCCUGCCUGCAGGAGGAUUUUUGACCUUGGAACCCGCAAAAAUAUGAAUAAGUAGCCAUUUUUUUCACAAAAACGAGCGGAUUAUAAAUAUUUUUGCAGAUUGCGGGAACACGCAGCGUGGAGC